rnacentral:rRNA from 1 species
AGCGAACGCUGGCGGCAGGCUUAACACAUGCAAGUCGAGCGCCCCGCAAGGGGAGCGGCAGACGGGUGAGUAACACGUGGGAACGUACCCUUUGGUUCGGAACAACCCAGGGAAACUUGGGCUAAUACCGGAUAAGUCCGCGAGGAGAAAGAUUUAUCGCCGAAGGAUCGGCCCGCGUCUGAUUAGCUAGUUGGUGCGGUAACGGCGCACCAAGGCGACGAUCAGUAGCUGGUCUGAGAGGAUGAUCAGCCACACUGGGACUGAGACACGGCCCAGACUCCUACGGGAGGCAGCAGUGGGGAAUAUUGGACAAUGGGGGCAACCCUGAUCCAGCCAUGCCGCGUGAGUGAUGAAGGCCCUAGGGUUGUAAAGCUCUUUCGGUGGGGAAGAUAAUGACGGUACCCACAGAAGAAGCCCCGGCUAACUUCGUG